rnacentral:ncRNA from 1 species
GAAAGCCGUGUACGGGGAAACCGUAUGCACGGUUUGAUGAGGGAGGGCUGGCUACCGUGACCAUGGUGCGGCUAGUGAGGCACCGCCAAACGAAAGGGGCGGCAACAGAUAGGCCGGACCUACAGUCGCGGGACGCCUGCUCUCUACUCUAC